rfam:Habropoda laboriosa contig18440, whole genome shotgun sequence.
UGGCGUAGCGCGCAAAGCCUCGGCUUGCUAAGCCGGAGGUCCCGGGUUCGAUUCCCGG